rnacentral:rRNA from 1 species
UCGUGAAUCUUCCGCAAUGAGCGCAAGCUUGACGGAGCGACGCCGCGUGGAGGAAGAAGGCCUUCGGGUUGUAAACUCCUGUCAGGACUUACGAACAGACCGGGUCAAUACCCCGCGUCGAUGACGAAGGGUCCAGAGGAAGCCACAGCUAACUUCGUGCCAGCAGCUGCGGUAAUACGAAGGUGGCGAGCGUUGUUCGGAUUCACUGGGCAUAAAGGGCGCGUAGGCGGUGCCGCAAGCGGCGUGUGAAACUCCGGGGCUCAACCCCGGAACUGCGUGCUGGACUGCGGUGCUCGAGUGCGGGAGGGGGGUGCGGAACUCUAGGUGGAGCGGUGAAAUGCGUAGAUAUCUAGAGGAACACCGGUGGCGAAAGCGACACCCUGGCCCGCAACUGACGCUGAGGCGCGAAAGCGUGGGUAGCAAACAGGAUUAGAUACCCCCGUAGUCC